rnacentral:rRNA from 1 species
UACAGAGGUCUCAAGCGUUGUCCGGAUUUAUUGGGCGUAAAGAGCGUGUAGGCGGCCAGACAAGUCUGCUGUGAAAACUCGAGGCUCAACCUCGAGCUGUCGGUGGAAACUGUCUGGCUAGAGUCCGGAAGAGGAGAGUGGAAUUCCUGGUGUAGCGGUGAAAUGCGCAGAUAUCAGGAAGAACACCUAUGGCGAAGGCAGCUCUCUGGGACGGUACUGGACGCUGAGACGCGAAAGCGUGGGGAGCGAACAGG